rnacentral:rRNA from 1 species
AUUGAACGCUGUCGGCCGGCCUAACACAUGCAAGUCGAACGAGUGGCGGACGGGUGAGUAAUGUCUGGAAAACUGCCUGAUGGAGGGGGCUAACUACUGGAAACGGUAGCUAAUACCGCAUACCAUCAGAUGUGCCCCGCUGGGAUUAGCUAGUUGGUGGCGUAACGGCUCACCAAGGCGACGAUCCCUAGCUGGUCUGAGAGGAUGACCAGCCACACUGGAACUGAGACACGGUCCAGCCGCCUACGGUGGGCAGCAGUGGGGAAUAUUGCACAAGGGGCGCAAUCCUGAUGCAGCCAUGCCGCGUGUAGGAAGAAGGCCUUCGGGUUGUAAAGUACUUUCAGCGGGGAGGCGUUACCCGCAGAAGAAGCACCGGCUAACUCCGUGCCAGCAGCCGCGGUAAUUC